CGCUAAGCGAAUCGGGCGUGCUGGCCGAAAGCGAAGAUCGCGAUGGCCUUGACAUGGGUAUGGAACGUACCGAACGCUCGCGUACCUGGUGGUGGGUAAACAACAAUGAAAGAUUAGUGAUGCAAUCUUUUGGGCGUAGUUGAGUUCGACUUACCCAGUGUGUUGUUGGAUGACAAUGGAGCACAUGUGGACUCAGUGGUACCGAGCGGCUGGCAUUGCAGCGCACGAAUACUGUGCCGCCGGCGCCCAUGUGUAUGGGAAAGGCGCAUGGGACUUGGUCUUGUGCACGGAUUUUCUCAAAUAUUGGCAUUAACUCGGCCAAGUGCUCAUCAGCUACAUAUAUAUAGAAACACAAUUUUGUUGUUGUUGGCAUUUUGCUCAAUAUAGCUUAUAGCUGACUAAACGGUAUAUGAUCAUUUAAACAACUUGCCUCUAUACAAAGAAAAAUCAACAUAACCUCUAAAUGACUGCACAUAACCUCAAUAGAACCUAACCUCACAAAGCGCGACAGUUAGCGCGCGCAUGUGUAAUUUAUCUAGCAUUAAACUCAAAAUAUAUGACGCAGCGUAACAUAAAACAA